AGAUAAUGAUCACACCGUUCAUCUUCACUAACUAACUAUAAUAGUUAACAUGUAACCGCACAGCUGACUGAUUCAAAGAGUAAACAAAUGAUUUUCAUACUGUAUAUUCAUACUGUAGCUUUAAGGUCAAACUGAUGAGGUUAAGUUCUAUUCUAUGAGCUAUGACUAUAAUAAAAAACAUCACCCAUUCAACAGCUACUUGUUUUAUUUUAUUCCAGUCAUAUGCAUUUUAUAAAACACUGAAAAAUAUAAGUGAACUUUACACAACACUACUAGACAAACCUGAUAUUCUGGUUAUAGAUGAGAGUUUAAGAUUCAGUUUCGUUUCUGAGCACAAUAAUGCCAAGCUGAAGUGAACUUGUGUUCAUCCUAGACAUCAGUCUGGCAGAUUUCUACUAUUUGUAUGUGAUUUUGUUAGUUUAAUUUUGUUUUUUCUUGCAGUUAUAUUGUACUUGUUGUUUUGGAUAACAAAACAGGAACACACGCAAGAACGAUGAAACAAGAGUUGAGAGCAGUUCUUAUUGGAAGGCAACACUGUGGGAAAACAUCGGUGAUCAACACUAUAUUGGAAACCAGAACAGAAGCUGAAGGAGAUGAGGAUGUGAAGAGAGAGGGAUUUAUUGAUGGCAGGAGAGUCAGUCUUGUUGAAACUCCUGGCUGGUGGAAAACCUUCAGUCUGAGUGAUUUAUCCAACCUCUCCAAACAGCAGCUGGUUCGCAGGAUUUCUCUGAUUUCACCUGGACCUCAUGCGGUUCUGAUCGUGAUUCGGGCCGAUUCUGCAUUUACUGACCCCGAUGGGAGGUUUCUGGACGUGUUCUACGAAUGUAGCAAGGCAAGACUCAUGCUCUCGCAAUGAGGCAAGUCCAUCUCUCUGCAUUCACUAGCCGCUUUUCCACUGUUUCCAUAAUUUUAGCUCAAAACUCACUUUACGACAGCAGCAAGUGUUUGAAAUAACUUCUGUUAAAGAUCUGAUGUGGAUUAUGAUCACAAUACAAGGCAGAAAUACUUAUAAGUGAUGCAAAGGACUAUGCACGCUAGUCAUUGCUAUGGUAACCAUGGAAAAUAGCCUAUAAGAGUUUUUCCCUAGCAUGGUAAAUGCAAACAAAAAUGUGAGAGACCAUUUUGAAAGGGAAAUUUUAACAGUUGAGCUUGUGACUUUUGCAGUGUCUUGCCCACAGUGCUCUACAAAUGUGACAAGUUCAACUUUUAAGAACGCAUCUUGAGACUUUGUUUUUCC
ensembl:lncRNA